UACGUAGGGACCAAGCGUUGUUCGGAUUUAUUGGGCGUAAAGGGCUCGUAGGCGGUCUGUUACGUCGGGAGUGAAAACUCGGGGCUCAACCCCGAGCCUGCUUCCGAUACGGGCAGACUAGAGGUAUGCAGGGGAGAAUGGAAUUCCUGGUGUAGCGGUGAAAUGCGCAGAUAUCAGGAGGAACACCGGUGGCGAAGGCGGUUCUCUGGGCAUUACCUGACGCUGAGGCGCGAAAGCGUGGGGAGCGAACAGG
rnacentral:rRNA from 1 species